GUUUGAUCAUGGCUCAGAUUGAACGCUGGCGGCGUGCUUAACACAUGCAAGUCGAUCGGUAACAGGUGUAGCAAUACAUGCUGACGAGAGGCGGACGGGUGAGGAAUAUUUGGGAAUCUGCCCAUCAGCGGGGGACAACCCGGGGAAACCCGGGCUAAUACCGCAUACGCUCUACGGAGGAAAGCCGGGGACCGCAAGGCCUGGCACUGAUGGAUGAGCCCAAAUCGGAUUAGCUAGUUGGCGGGGUAACGGCCCACCAAGGCGACGAUCCGUAGCUGGUCUGAGAGGACGAUCAGCCACACCGGAACUGAGACACGGUCCGGUCUCCUACGGGAGGCAGCAGUGGGGAAUAUUGGACAAUGGGGGAAACCCUGAUCCAGCGACGCCGCGUGGGUGAAGAAGGCCUGCGGGUUGUAAAGCCCUUCCGGUAGGGACGAAAGCUCUUGCUCUAAUAAUGCAAGAGGUUGACUUAACCUACAUAAGAAGCACCGGCUAACUCUGUGCCAGCAGCCGCGGUAAUACAGAGGGUGCGAGCGUUAAUCGGAAUUACUGGGCGUAAAGCGCACGUAGUCGGCUUGUCAAGUCGGGUGUGAAAUCCCCGGGCUCAACCUGGGAACUGCAUCCGAAACUGACCUGCUAGAGUAUGAUGGGGAGUACGCCGCAAGGCUAAACUCAAAGGAAUUGACGGGGGCCCGCACAAGCGGCGGAGCAUGCGGAUUAAUUCGAUGCAACGCGAAGAACCUUACCAAGGCUUGACAUGGCCAGUAAUCCGGCAGAGAUGUCGGGUCCGUAAGGCUGUUCACAGGUGGUGCAUGGUUGUCGUCAGCUCGUGUCGUGAGAUGUUGGGUUAAGUCCCGCAACGAGCGCAACCCUCGUUCCAUGUUGCCAGCACGUAAUGGUGGGGACUCAUGGGAGACUGCCGGGGUCAACUCGGAGGAAGGUGGGGAUGACGUCAAAUCAUCAUGCCCCUUAUUCUUGGGCUUCACGCAUGCUACAAUGGCCAGUACAAAGGCUGCGAGACCGUAAGUGGAGCGAAUCCCAAAAGCUGGUCUCAGUUCGGAUCGGGUCUGCAACUCGACCCCGUGAAGUCGGAGUCGC
rnacentral:rRNA from 1 species